GAGGUCCCACCUGCCCUGUGACUUUUAGUUUAACGGCCGCGGUAUCCUAACCGUGCGAAGGUAGCGCAAUCAAUUGCCUUUUAAAUGAAGGCCUGUAUGAAUGGUAUAACGAGGGUCUAACUGUCUCUUUUUUCUAGUCAGUUAAACUGAUCUGUCCGUGCAGAAGCGGACAUUAUUAUACAAGACGAGAAGACCCUAUGGAGCUUCAGACGCUAGCCAACUAUGAACAAGCGGCUUUAACCUAAGUAAGCCUCAAACACCCGUAAGUGCUGGUAAGGCAGUCUUAGGUUGGGGCGACCGCGGGAGAAAGAAAAGCUCCCAAGCAGACUGGGGAAACCCUCAAGCCAAGAGUUACAACUCUAAGCCACAAAAAUUUUGACUGAAAUGAUCCGAUCAAAAGAUCGAUUAACGAACCAAGUUACCCUAGGGAUAACAGCGCAAUCCCCUCCCAGAGUCCCUAUCGACGAGGGGGUUUACGACCUCGAUGUUGGAUCAGGACAUCCUAAUGGUGCAGCCGCUAUUAA
rnacentral:rRNA from 1 species